UACGGAGGGUGCGAGCGUUAAUCGGAAUUACUGGGCGUAAAGCGCAUGCAGGCGGUUUGUUAAGCGAGAUGUGAAAGCCCCGGGCUCAACCUGGGAACAGCAUUUCGAACUGGCAGACUAGAGUACUGUAGAGGGGGGUAGAAUUUCAGGUGUAGCGGUGAAAUGCAUAGAGAUCUGAAGGAAUACCAGUGGCGAAGGCGGCUCCCUGGUCCAAAACUGACGCUGAGGUGCGAAAGCGUGGGGAGCAAACAGG
rnacentral:rRNA from 1 species